rnacentral:rRNA from 1 species
CCUACGGGUGGCAGCAGUGGGGAAUCUUGCGCAAUGGCCGAAAGGCUGACGCAGCGACGCCGCGUGGAGGAUGACGCCCUUCGGGGUGUAAACUCCUGUUGCCCGGGACGAAUGCCCCUUUUGAGGGGAGUGACGGUACCGGGUGAGGAAGCACCGGCUAACUCUGUGCCAGCAGCCGCGGUAAUACAGAGGGUGCGAGCGUUGUCCGGAAUCACUGGGCGGCGAGGGCGCGUAGCCGGCUCGGUAAGCGGAAAGCCCGGGGCUCAACCCCGGGUCGGCCAUGCGAACUGUCGAGCUGGAGCACGGUAGAGGCACAUGGAAUUCCGGGUGUAGCGGUGGAAUGCGUAGAGAUCCGGAAGAACACCGGUGGCGAAGGCGGUGUGCUGGGCCGUAGCUGACGCUGAGGCGCGACAGCGUGGGGAGCAAACAGGAUUAGAUACCCUGGUAGUC